rnacentral:rRNA from 1 species
UACGUAGGGUGCAAGCGUUAAUCGGAAUUACUGGGCGUAAAGCGUGCGCAGGCGGUUAUGUAAGACAGAUGUGAAAUCCCCGGGCUCAACCUGGGAACUGCAUUUGUGACUGCAUCGCUGGAGUGCGGCAGAGGGGGAUGGAAUUCCGCGUGUAGCAGUGAAAUGCGUAGAUAUGCGGAGGAACACCGAUGGCGAAGGCAAUCCCCUGGACCUGUACUGACGCUCAUGCACGAAAGCGUGGGGAGCAAACAGG